rnacentral:rRNA from 1 species
UACGUAGGGGCCUAGCGUUGUCCGGAUUUAUUGGGCGUAAAGAGCUCGUAGGCGGUUUGGUGAGUCGGGUGUGAAAUCUCCACGCUCAACGUGGAGGGGCCACCCGAUACUGCCAUGACUAGAGUCCGGUAGGGGAGUGUGGAAUUCCCGGUGUAGCGGUGAAAUGCGCAGAUAUCGGGAGGAACACCGGUGGCGAAGGCGGGUCUCUGGGCCGAUGACUGACGCUGAGGAGCGAAAGCGUGGGGAGCGAACAGG